rnacentral:rRNA from 1 species
GCACACACAAAUUAUCUUUUAAAUAUAGAUAUAAUAUAAACAACUAAAUAAUAAAUAAAAUAAAUAUUAAAGUACAGAAAUGGAAAACAUAAUUAUUGAUAGUAAAUCUUAACAACUGUACCUUGUGCAUUAUGGUUUUACAAGAAAAAAAUUAAAAACAUAAAUCCCGAAUUCUAAAUGAGAUGUUAAGCUGCUGCUACGAGCCCAUGAAUAGCUGUAGAAAAAGCUUUUAAAGACAACUUAACAGAGGCUACAUACCAUCCGCAUAAGAAUAUAGCUGGUUCUCAACAAACAUUAUAUAUUAAAGCAUGUAACUAAGUUACAAUGUAAAAUUAUUGAGGACAAGCCCAAUAAUACAUGCAAACAUAAUUAAUAAUCAACUAAAAUGCAUAGGCCUAAAAUCAGCCAAUAAUAAUACUUUACCGUUAAUAGACCAGACAAAAUUUAUUAUUUAUCAUGCCCGAAAAAGUUGAGAUGGGGAUAAAACAUGUUGCGUCCCCAAUAAUAUGUAAAAAUAAGUAUUAUAAAAACAAAAUAUCAAUAAACCUACUAAUUAUCAACUACUACACUAACAAUGACUAACUAAGGAACUCGGCAAAUAAUUAUUUCGACUGUUUAACAAAAACAUUGUCUCAUGAAACACUAUAUGAGAUAAUUCCUGCCCAGUGACAAAUGUUCAACGGCCGCGGUAUCCUAACCGUGCAAAGGUAGCAUAAUCACUUGCCUAUUAAUUGUAGACUAGAAUGAACGGGCCAACGAAAUAAAAACUGUCUCAGUUAGACACCUAAAAAUUAUUUUUUAUCUGAAGAUAGAUAAAUCAACUCGAAGGACAAGAAGACCCUAUAGAGCUUUAUUUUAUAUAUGGAUACUUACCACAUGAAAAUUCGGUUGGGGCGACCCCGGGAUCAUAUAUCACCCUUCAUAUAAAGAUAUAUUAAUCAAAUAAGUGACCCUCUAAAGAUCAUAAAACCAAGCUACCUUAGGGAUAACAGGCUAAUCCCACUCAAGAGUCCUUAUCAACAGUGGGGGUUGGCACCUCGAUGUUGGCUUAGGGUAUCUAUAUAACGCAAAAGUUAUAUAAAGAUGGUUUGUUCAACCAGUAAUACCCUACAUGAGCUGAGUUCAGACCGGCGUAAGCCAGGUUAGCUUCUAUCCUCGACUCUAUUAAUCCUGCUCCUAGUACGAAAGGACCUGAGCAAGAUAAAUUUUAUAAAAAAGAAUUCAUAUAAUUAAAAAUUAAACAAAAUUAGUAAAAACUAUA